rnacentral:rRNA from 1 species
AGCAGCCGCGGUAAUUCCAGCUCCAAUAGCGUAUAUUAAAGUUGUUGCAGUUAAAAAGCUCGUAGUUGAAUUUCGAGAUCGGUUUAUUGGUCAUGCUAUUGUACGUACUGGUAUUACCGGUUUCUCCUUUCUGACGAACCUUAAUGCCAUUAAUUUGGUGUUUUGGGAAAUCAGGACUGUUACUUUGAAAAAAUUAGAGUGUUUAAAGCAGGCUCACGCUUGAAUACAUUAGCAUGGAAUAACGGAAUAGGACGUUUGAUUCUAUUUUGUUGGUUUCUAGGAUCGACGUAAUGAUUAAUAGGGAUAGUUGGGGGCAUUAGUAUUCAAUUGUCAGAGGUGAAAUUCUUGGAUUUAUUGAAGACUAACUACUGCGAAAGCAUUUGCCAAGGAUGUUUUCAUUAAUCAAGAACGAAAGUUAGGGGAUCGAAGACGAUCAGAUACCGUCGUAGU